rnacentral:rRNA from 1 species
CAGCCGCCGCGGGAAUACGUAGGGUGCAAGCGUUAAUCGGAAUUACUGGGCGUAAAGCGUGCGCAGGCGGUUAUAUAAGUCAGAUGUGAAAUCCCCGGGCUCAACCUGGGAACUGCAUUUGAGACUGUAUGGCUAGAGUGUGUCAGAGGGGGGUAGAAUUCCACGUGUAGCAGUGAAAUGCGUAGAUAUGUGGAGGAAUACCGAUGGCGAAGGCAGCCCCCUGGGAUAACACUGACGCUCAUGCACGAAAGCGUGGGGAGCAAACAGGAUUAGAUACCCCAGUAGUCCCUGUCUCUUAUAC